ACGGCCAAGAUCUCUCUUUAUCGGGAAGCAGCAGUAGGAAUCUCGCAUUGACGAAGUCUGACGAGCACGCCGCUGAAUGAUGAUGGCUUCCGCUCGUAAGGCUCUGUUAUUGAGGAAGACACGUAACGUUCGAUAGGCGGUACCUUGACGGUACUCAUCAGAAAGCACGGCUAACUACGUGCCAGCAGCCGCGUUAAUACGUAGGUGGCAAGCGUUGUCCGGAAUUAUUGGGCGUAAAGCGCGCGCAGGCGGCCUUUUUAAGUCUGAUGUGAAAUCUUGCGGGCUCAACCGCAAGCGGCCAUUGGAAACUGGGAGGCUUGAGUACAGAAGAGGAGAGUGGAAUUCCACGUGUAGCGGUGAAAUGCGUAGAUAUGUGGAGGAACACCAGUGGCGAAGGCGACUCUCUGGUCUGUAACUGACGCUGAGGCGCGAAAGCGUGGGGAGCAAACAGGAUUAGAUACCCUGGUAGUCCACGCCGUAAACGAUGAGUGCUAGGUGUUAGGGGUUUCGAUGCCCGUAGUGCCGAAGUUAACACAUUAAGCACUCCGCCUGGGGAGUACGGCCGCAAGGCUGAAACUCAAAGGAAUUGACGGGGGCCCGCACAAGCAGUGGAGCAUGUGGUUUAAUUCGAAGCAACGCGAAGAACCUUACCAGGUCUUGACAUCCUUUGACCACUCUGGAGACAGAGCUUCCCCUUCGGGGGCAAAGUGACAGGUGGUGCAUGGUUGUCGUCAGCUCGUGUCGUGAGAUGUUGGGUUAAGUCCCGCAACGAGCGCAACCCUUGACCUUAGUUGCCAGCAUUUAGUUGGGCACUCUAAGGUGACUGCCGGUGACAAACCGGAGGAAGGUGGGGAUGACGUCAAAUCAUCAUGCCCCUUAUGACCUGGGCUACACACGUGCUACAAUGGAUGGUACAAAGGGUUGCGAAGCCGCGAGGUGAAGCCAAUCCCAUAAAGCCAUUCUCAGUUCGGAUUGUAGGCUGCAACUCGCCUGCAUGAAGCUGGAAUUGCUAGUAAUCGCGGAUCAGCAGGCCGCGGUGUAUAGGUUCCCGGUGCCUCUGCACAAGUCGUAACAAGGUCAACCAUGCUAGAGUUUGAUCCUGGCUCAGGAUAAGUCGUAACAAGGUAACCAUGCUAGAGUAACG
rnacentral:rRNA from 1 species